rnacentral:rRNA from 1 species
CGCCAGCCCGCUCAGAAACUCAAGGAAUUGACGGGGCCCGCACAAGCGGUGAGCAUGUGGUUUAAUUCGAUGAUACGCGAGGAACCUUACCUGGCUCAAAUGUAUGUUGACGUAUUCUGAAAGGGAUACUUCUUCGGACAAUAUACAAGGUGCUGCAUGGUUGUCGUCAGCUCGUGCCGUGAGGUGUCGGGUUAAGUCCCAUAACGAGCGCAACCCCUAUCAUUAGUUGCCAUCAGGUCAAGCUGGGGACUCUAAUGAAACUGCCUACGCAAGUAGUGAGGAAGGUGGGGAUGACGUCAAAUCAGCACGGCCCUUACGUCCAGGGCUACACACGUGCUACAAUGGCCGGUACAAAGGGCAGCUACCUGGUGACAGGAUGCUAAUCUCAAAAGCCGGUCUCAGUUCGGAUCGGAGUCUGCAACCCGACUCCGUGAAGCUGGAAUCGCUAGUAAUCGCGCAUCAGCCAUGGCGCGGUGAAUACGUUCCCGGGCCUU